GUACUUCCAGUAGUUCAACAGCACAUAUACUAAAAUCGGAAUGAUACAGAGAGGAUUAGCAUGGCCCUGGGCAAGCUAGACACAACUACAUGAAGAAUUUCAUAAAAUAGAU